AGGGUAUUACGAGCCCAAGCUUAAAACCCAAAGGACUUGACGGUGCCCCACCCACCUAGAGGAGCCUGUUCUAUAAUCGAUUCUCCCCGAUAUACCUCACCACUUCUAGCCUACUCAGCCUGUAUACCUCCGUCGUAAGCUUACCAUAUGAACGUUAUACUAGUGAGCCAAAAGAUUAACCAUCAAUACGUCAGGUCAAGGUGCAGCUUACGAAGCGGGAAGCAAUGGGCUACAGUUUCUAACUUAGAAUAAACGAAAGACUACAUGAAACAUAGUCAUGAAGGCGGAUUUAGUAGUAAAAAGAAAAUAGAGAGUUCUUUUUAAUUAGGCACUGGGACGCGUACACACCGCCCGUCACCCUSUUCAAAUGCAAUUAUUAUGUUUAUAACACCAAA
rnacentral:rRNA from 1 species